AUUCCUUUACUUGAUAAGGUAAUCACUUUGAUCAAUAUGAGGAAGGACACUUGGAAAUUGAACAAGCAUCACUUGACAAGCCUAUUGAAUCGG